AGACCCGAAACCCGGUGAUCUAGCCAUGGGCAGGUUGAAGGUUGGGUAACACUAACUGGAGGACCGAACCGACUAAUGUUGAAAAAUUAGCGGAUGACCUGUGGCUGGGGGUGAAAGGCCAAUCAAACCGGGAGAUAGCUGGUUCUCCCCGAAAGCUAUUUAGGUAGCGCCUCGUGAAUUCAUCUCCGGGGGUAGAGCACUGUUUCGGCUAGGGGGCCAUCCCGGCUUACCAACCCGAUGCAAACUGCGAAUACCGGAGAAUGUUAUCACGGGAGACACACGGCGGGUGCUAACGUCCGUCGUGAAGAGGGAAACAACCCAGACCGCCAGCUAAGGUCCCAAAGUCAUGGUUAAGUGGGAAACGAUGUGGGAAGGCCCAGACAGCCAGGAUGUUGGCUUAGAAGCAGCCAUCAUUUAAAGAAAGCGUAAUAGCUCACUGGUCGAGUCGGCCUGCGCGGAAGAUGUAACGGGGCUAAACCAUGCACCGAAGCUGCGGCAGCGACACUCAGGUGUUGUUGGGUAGGGGAGCGUUCUGUAAGCCUGCGAAGGUGGCCUGUGAGGGUUGCUGGAGGUAUCAGAAGUGCGAAUGCUGACAUAAGUAACGAUAAAGCGGGUGAAAAGCCCGCUCGCCGGAAGACCAAGGGUUCCUGUCCAACGUUAAUCGGGGCAGGGUGAGUCGACCCCUAAGGCGAGGCCGAAAGGCGUAGUCGAUGGGAAACGGGUUAAUAUUCCCGUACUUGGUGUUACUGCGAAGGGGGGACGGAGAAGGCUAUGUUGGCCGGGCGACGGUUGUCCCGGUUUAAGCGUGUAGGCUGGUUUUCCAGGCAAAUCCGGAAAAUCAAGGCUGAGGCGUGACGACGAGGCACUACGGUGCUGA
rnacentral:rRNA from 1 species